rnacentral:rRNA from 1 species
AAGAAAAGCACCUAGAGAGAGAAGUAGUGCCCGUACCGCAAACCGACACAGGUAGAUGAGGAGAGAAUCCUAAGGCCGGCGGAAGAAUUGCAGUUAAGGAACUAGGCAAAUUGACCCCGUAAGUUCGCGAGAAGGGGUGCCUGCGAGAGCAGGCCGCAGAGAAUAGGCCCAAGCAACUGUUUAGCAAAAACACAGGUCUCUGCUAAAGCGUAAGCUGAUGUAUAGGGGCUGACGCCUGCCCGGUGCUGGAAGGUUAAGGGGAACACUUAGCGCAAGCGAAGGUGUGAACUUAAGCCCCAGUAAACGGCGGCCGUAACAAUAACGGUCCUAAGGUAGCGAAAUUCCUUGUCAGGUAAGUUCUGACCCGCACGAAUGGCGUAAUGACUUGGGCACUGUCUCAACUGCAAAUCCGGCGAAGUUGUAGUGCGAGUGAAGAUGCUCGCUACCCGCGAUUGGACGGAAAGACCCCGUAGAGCUUUACUGUAGCUUAGCAUUGAAUUCCGGUAUUGUCUGUACAGGAUAGGUGGGAGACUGGGAAACUAGGGCGUCAGCCUUAGUGGAGUCAACCUUGGGAUACCACCCUGACAGUACUGGGGUUCUAACAGGACGCCAUGAAUCUGGUGACUGGACAUUGUUAGGUGGGCAGUUUGACUGGGGCGGUCGCCUCCUAAAAAGUAACGGAGGCGCCCAAAGGUUCCCUCAGAACGGUCGGAAAUCGUUCGUAGAGUGCAAAGGCAGAAGGGAGCCUGACUGCGAGACAUACAAGUCGAGCAGGGACGAAAGUCGGGCUUAGUGAUCCGGUGGUACCUCGUGGGAGGGCCAUCGCUCAACGGAUAAAAGCUACCUCGGGGAUAACAGGCUGAUCUCCCCCAAGAGUCCACAUCGACGGGGAGGUUUGGCACCUCGAUGUCGGCUCGUCGCAUCCUGGGGCUGUAGUAGGUCCCAAGGGUUGGGCUGUUCGCCCAUUAAAGCGGCACGCGAGCUGGGUUCAGAACGUCGUGAGACAGUUCGGUCCCUAUCCGUCGCGGGCGUAGGAAAUUUGAGAGGAGCUGUCCUUAGUACGAGAGGACCGGGAUGGACUGACCUCUGGUGCACCAGUUGUUCCGCCAGGAGCAUGGCUGGGUAGCUAAGUCGGGAAGGGAUAAACGCUGAAAGCAUCUAAGCGUGAAGCCUCCCUCAAGAUGAGAUUUCCCAUAGCAUAAGCUAGUAAGACCCCUUGAAGAACACAAGGUUGAUAGGUCAGAGGUGUAAGUGCGGUAACGUAUUUAGCUGACUGAUACUAAUAGGUCGAGGGCUUGACC